CUCUAUCUGUUUCUUCCCUGAUCCCCAGCAGAGCGUGUGCUCACCUGCUCCAUAAGCCUGGGGUCUUAGAAGAUUUUCAUUUCACUGUACUUUCCAGUAGUGUUCUCACUUUCUAUUAUUAAUUUCUUGGGAGAAUAUGUAGACACAAACUAGACUUGUUAACUCAUUAACUAUAUCUUAAUCAAUACAAUGACUCCGAGGGUAUAAAAACUUGAAAGUAAUAAAUAGAAUGACAAAGAGUAUCCUUAAGCUAAGGAGAAGGGCAGUUCAGCAGUGUGAGAGUAAAGGGCGAGGAUAAUUAAAACCAGUGAAUGUUAGGCUACAGUUGCACAGGAUGCACUCCUACACAGAUCAAAAUAAAUUGCUCUAAACCUGCUAACAUGGCUGUAUCUUAGCUACCACUGAGCAGACUUCACAUUCGUUGUUUGAAAUAUCCCCAUGUAUAUAACACAUAAUUCAAUGUUUGGAAUAAAGAAUUAAAUCCAUUUUGCACUCAAACUAUAAAAAAUGAUAUUAAAUUCUGUACUGUUAUUUAAGACAAAGCAUACUUUUUAAAGUACUAUAGAUUGUGAUACAACUUGAAUGUAAUACAAUAAUAAAAAUUAUAACUCUAUAGGUUAGAUUUUUACCAGCAACACACAGCCUUCAAUUAUCUGAGAAAAGGGGGCUUCCAUUGAGCUGUCCACAUCAUAUUAUUCUAUAGCUAAGCCUAAGGAGCACUCUCCUGAUUGUUGAUGGAUAAGGAAAGUUCCAGGUCAAUGUGAGUAGUUCUGUGUGAUUCUGAGGUAUACAACAAGCCAUCCAGCAAGCAGAUUCAGCAAGCCAUGGAGAGCAAGCCAGGAACCACAACUCUUCUCUGGCCUCUGUCUAGUUUUAUUUCCUUUUUUACUGAAAAUUGUUUUUGUAUAGUGUAUUCUGAUUGUUGUUUUCCUUUCUGCAACUCUUCCUGGGUCCUUCCUACUUUCCUAUCCACUCAAUUCUAUGCUCUUUCUUCGUUUUCCUCUUUAUU
rnacentral:lncRNA from 1 species